GUUUCCUUCAAAUAGAGAAUUUAGCAAAAUAUGGUGCCACGCAUUAAGAUUGCAAAUGAACAAUUUGCCGAAAUAUGCAUAUGUUUGUUCCAAACAUUUCAGCACCGAAAACUUAAUAAGAGGCAGUCAAAGAACCACAAUUUCUAAAUAUGCAGUUCCUCGAAUUAGCGAGUUUGAAAGACCUGAAUUGAAAAGAAGUUCCAGCACGGAAACUGCAAGUUCCAGAACAGUAACAAUCCCAGACACUGAUAAUCAAAGGUAGUUGUGCUAUUAUUAUUAACUGAAAAAUAUAAUAUAUAUAUAUAUAUAUAUAUAUAUAUAUAUAUAUAAUCUUAUUUUCAGCCUAUUGUUUACUUCCAAAAAAUUCUUAAUUAAACGUGUAAUUGAGAGUCUUCCCCCAGAAAGUCGAGAAUAUGGAUUCGAAAAUUCCUUCAGUGAUACAGAAACUGCAAGUUCAGCAAGUUCGAGGACAUUAACAGCGGAUAUUGUCUUUGGAAGCUUUGAGUCAUCUCCUGAAGAACAUGCUGCUUCUUUAACCGAAAAAGCUGCUCCUUCAACUGAAAAAUGCACAGCUGGGGGGCUCAAAAGAAAGUUCGAAGCAGAUUCUGUGUUUGAAGUAGAUAAAUCAGUCUUUACACCAUCUAGCCCUGGAAUUUCAAAUAUUAAACUGAAAAAGUAAGUUCUCA